AUUGAACGCUGGCGGCAGGCCUAACACAUGCAAGUCGAGCGAGCGGCGGACGGGUGAGUAAUGUUUGGGGAUCUGCCCGAUGGAGGGGGAUAACUACUGGAAACGGUGGUUAAUACCGCAUACUAUCGGAUGUACCCAUAUGGGAUUAGCUAGUAGGUGGGGUAACGGCUCACCUAGGCGACGAUCCCUAGCUGGUCUGAGAGGAUGAUCAGCCACACUGGAACUGAGACACGGCCCAGACUCCUACGGGAGGCAGCAGUGGGGAAUAUUGCACAAAGGGCGCAAGCCUGAUGCAGCCAUGCCGCGAGUAUGAAGAAGGCCUUAGGGUUGUAAAGUACUUUCAGCGGGGAAGCGUUACAGGCAGAAGAAGCACCGGCUAACUACGUGCCAGCAGCCACGGUAAUAC
rnacentral:rRNA from 1 species